rnacentral:rRNA from 1 species
AUUGAACGCUGGCGGCAUGCCUUACACAUGCAAGUCGAACGGUAACAGGUCUUCGGAUGCUGACGAGUGGCGAACGGGUGAGUAAUACAUCGGAACGUGCCCGAUCGUGGGGGAUAACGAGGCGAAAGCUUUGCUAAUACCGCAUACGAUCUACGGAUGAAAGCAGGGGACCGCAAGGCCUUGCGCGAACGGAGCGGCCGAUGGCAGAUUAGGUAGUUGGUGGGAUAAAAGCUUACCAAGCCGACGAUCUGUAGCUGGUCUGAGAGGACGACCAGCCACACUGGGACUGAGACACGGCCCAGACUCCUACGGGAGGCAGCAGUGGGGAAUUUUGGACAAUGGGGGAAACCCUGAUCCAGCAAUGCCGCGUGAGUGAAGAAGGCCUGG